GGACCACAAGAUGGCUCUGAUCCAGAUGGGCUCAGUGGAGGAGGCCAUCGAGUCCCUCAUAGAGUUCCACAACCACGACCUGGGCGAGAACCACCACCUACGGGUCUCCUUCUCCAAGUCCUCCAUCUGAGCCUCAGACUUCACCGUCUGAAUCCUCCUCGCUCGCCUGAGAGCGGACUUGGUGUCCACUACACUCCCAUCAUUCCAGUCUGCAGAAACCGCCGUGAAGUCUGGUGUGAUGUUAAAUUAUUUUUUAAAACAUGUUUUAUUCUCUGCCUUCGAGGAGCAUCAGGGUCAUUUAAAGAAACCGAGUUCUGAGUGUCAGGAUUUUAAGAAUGAAUCAAGAACUGACUGACGCUUCAGACUCGUUUCUCUGUGCUCCUGAUCCUCGUCUCUGAAGUUUCCCCCUUUUUGAAGUAACGUCUUUAAAACACGACAGCGUUUGGGAAGUCACGGAUUAGCUCCCGAGCGGUCGGAUGUUUGGCCUUCAGAUGAUCCCCGUGCCUUAUUCCUGGAGUCGUGUAACACAAAUCUCCCAUCAUGCCUCUGUAAAUUGGCAAAGAGCAGGUUUACAGUUGCUGAGCUGUAUUGCAGAUAUAUCCGUGUUUUGUACUGCUGGUUAGCGUCAGACGUGUGAACGGUUUCAGCGCUCUGCUGGGUCUUCACUCGUAGAUUCUCUCUUCUGUUCCUUUUUGAUUUCUUUAUUUCCAUGUAUACAAUCGCGUUUUAUUCAAAUCAGAUUAUCGUAGCAAUAUUUUAAUCAUUCCUUUUUAUUUGUUGGGUUUUUUGGUGUGUUGGCGGUUCCUCUCGCUGCUCCGCCGCCUUCGACGAACCGCUCUGUUACUCGCGUCUUCUUGUGAAUCACGUGUCUCGUCCGUCGCCGCUCUCAACGGUUUUAUUUAUAAGUUUGUGAUCCACUACAGCUGAAACCAAAAACGGCCUUCUAGAUGCAAACAAAUCCGCCUGCCUCAGGUUUGUGGUUUUAAGGACUUAAAAGACAAAAGACCUGGUUCAGGCUUUGUUGGUGUUUUCCUGUGGGAGUGUUUUCACUGGAUCCAGCCCACCGGUGCGACGUCGGAUGUAAUGUGGAGUGCCUUCGCCGCAGCGCCGAGUCGUACAUCAGGUAUUAAUUCCUCUUUAUUCGGAGAUGAAAUGUACCGAAACCACGCGGCGCUGGUUCGGUUUAUCUGUGUCUUAAUAUUAUUAUGUCGACAUUCCAGCCGCUCAGACGUCCACCUGAAGCUCCUUCACCGUCUGAACGAGCUGCUGAAGGUUCGGUGCAUUCAGAGACGCCUGGGAGGUUCAGGUCCGGCUCGUCCUCCUUCACUUCCUGACCAAACAGACCAGAAGUCCCGCAUCAGUCCAGAGACUCGGAGGCGUCCGUCGCACGUCGGGCAGAUCUUUAAUCCUCCUCGCCGUCUGAAAGUUAAACAUCGUCAGAGACGUGGGGAAAACUCCGAUUGGCCGCAGCUGCGAUUAAAUGAAAGACUGAGCAGAUCGAACCACUUGUGAUUAUCGUGAGAUGUAAAAAGGUCUCGAGUACGUGAUUGUGUCUCGUUCUGAUUCAACGUGUCGCCAGACUCGAACUUUUCCUUUAAAACGUUUUUCCAAACUGUGAUCUGGCUUCUAGAAAGAAGCAAAUGUUGUGUGAAGAAGGACCAAAACUCUGGCCGUCUCCCGCGUGUCAGUAACCCCUCCCCCAAGUCGGCCGCCAGCUGGACGGCUCGGACACAAGACCGUCCCCCAGACCAGGACUCCUAUCGCACAAGUUGAACCCGUAACGCUGCGUUCACACUCGUCAAGCUGUAGCUCUGUGCGCGUGGUUUACAUACGAGGUCACUCCCUGUACGGUUCGUCUAACGUGAACAGAAACGAGCGCUCCUCAUCACGUGGCGUGAGCAGGUUGACUCCUCCCAGGUGUCGUCGUCGCCAGGUGACGUGAACGAGUUCCUCGUAAGAGGCGCUUUUAUUAAUUAUCCUUUCAGAAGUUUGCGUCGGUCGUCAAAGACGAAGGCGACAAGGCGUCGUCCAUCACUGCGGGGAGGACGGGGUUUCCCCAGGUGACUUGAAUGCAUCACAGACCUUCAGCGUCAGGUGAGACGGGUGAGGCAGGAGUGGGACCAGUCUUCAGUAGCGGGGGGGGGGUUGCAGUGUACAUACGUGUUUUAUACCACAGUUACGUGUCUGAGAGCUGAUUGGUGGUUUUAUAUCUGAUCAAUCAUGUAUAUUUUGAUUAACGUGUGGUUCUGAGCCUUUACACUGAUUGUGUCACAGCGGGGGGGAAAACAGAUUAAAUCACUUUUUAUCUAAAAACUCUGGAGACUCGAGUCGUCUGUCGUAAAUGUUUGUAUGUUGUGAACAUGAACAGAAGAGAAACGGGAAGCAUCUGAGCGUUUAAGUUCACGCGUUAAUACACCGAUCAGCCGUGACGUUAUGACCACCUGCACAACAUUGUGAGUGUGUCGAUCCUGCUGGAAGCGUGCGGAUGGAAAGCCUCAUCAAUGGAGCGCCGAUACUACGAUUCACCAUGGCAACGGGUAGAUAAAGGCAGAGCCUCCAUUUUAAUGGAGCUUAAAAAUGAGUGUCAUUUAAAAAAAAGUGGAGGAACUUUAACAAUAUUAAUUAGUCCGCUGAUUCAGCACAGCAGACCUGACUUCCCUCAAUGAAAGUCUUUAUUACAUUUGAUAUUUUAAUUUAUUUAUAGCCACAGCUGGAAGCUGACGGCACAAAACGCCAAAUCCAACAGGCCAUUUAUUGAAAUGUAUUGAAAACAGAAAGCAAUCACGAACAUGAUGCACGGGUCAGGACCGGAGCGCUCUGCAGCGGCGGAGUCAAACAGAAGAUCGUCUCCAGAGUGAUGUCGGUGAGGAGCCUGCCGAGCCCAAAGGAUCCUGAAGGACAGAACCCACCCAGCUGCAUGCUGGGAGGAAACGUAAAUGUUUCUGCUGGCGCCGUGUAGCCUGUAGAUUUUAUUCUGUGCUGAGGAGAAAUCCACGAUGUCCGGAGAUCAAUGAUGAAGAUCAUGUUUGGGUAACAAACGUAAACUUCUGCAGGUGAACGCGUUCAUGUACGUGCUUUGAUAUCGACCGGAUGAACGAGGAAAUGUCAGACGGCCGCUUCAGGCUGCGCAGGAGGGGAGAAGUUGAGAGGUGGGUCCUCUGUGGUUCGGCCUUGUCGGUCCAGCACGUCCCACAGACGCCGGAUUAGAUUGAGGUCAGGAGGCCAACACCGUUUCCAUGACAGCGGCCUCGGGACUCGAACCUUGGUUCGCUGUAGACCAAUGCUACCUGUCAAAGUAACAUCCACGUGACCGGCAGCACCCAAGGUUUCCAAGGUCCAGAGCAUCACACUGACUUCUUCCCAUAAUGCAUCGCGGUGCCGUGUGUUCCCCCCCAGAUAAGCGACGCGCACGCACCCGGCCCUCCAGGUGAAGAAAGCGUGGUACGUCAGAUCAGGCCAUCUUCUUGCAUUGCUCUGUGGUCCAGUUCUGAUGCUCACGAGCUCAUUGCAGGCGCUUUCAUCAGUGGACAGGGGUCAGCGUGGGCCCCCCGAGGCCCCAGACGCUCUGUGUUCUGACCCGUUUCUGUCAGAACCAGCGUCAACUGUUUGACCUCCAGCAGCUCGUCUGUUGGAUCAGACCACACGGGUCAGACAACUUAAGAUGUGCAGAGAUGCAGGCAAUGCAUUUUAAAUCCAGCGGGACAAGAAGAAGAAGACAGGAACAGAGACGGCCGGCUGCAGCAGUGAGACGUGUGCAGGACGUCUCCUGGAGCUGCUCAGGUUUCUGCUAACAGCUGCUUUAUUCCACAUCUGCAUUCACCACAAAGGACAAACUGGAUCCUGCGCUCUGUUUACUUUCCUGAAAAUCUGUGCAAUACGUUUAUCUGGUGGUGGAUUUAAAUUCAGAAAUUGUCCCCGUUUUGAAAUUGCGAGGAGAAAACAUAAAAAAACAGCCUAAGUUUGUUCAAUUUUAUGCUCACAAUUCUGGCCAAACGAUUGUUUUCUUAGUAUUUUAUUGAGUUUUGAACACCACUGUUACAUCACCAUUACAGCUGACAUCUCAACAUAUAUUACAUAGUGAUGAUAGAUUUUUGGACAAAAAGAAGAAAUAAAAAUACAAAUCUAAAAUGUUUAGAGCAGAAGAGGUAAUAGAAAUCAGGAAAAAAAUAAACAAAGAAAAAACAAACGCAUGGAUCUAAUGUACAGUUUUACAAUAAGCAGCACGUUCUCAUCUGGUUGCAAAAUAUUGCACGUGUUUUCCCCAUUUCCCCACAUAUUUUUCUGCCAUUGAUGUUGAAAGAGAUUUUUUCGUAUGAUGCCACUUUUGCCAACUCUGUGCUCCACUCCUGGAAAGGGGGCUCACCUGGGUUCUCCAGUUUCCUAUUGUUUGUUUUCCAGUCAUCUGAAUAAAGUCCGCUGCUCCGUA